AAGAGUCUAGUUUAAUUUAAAAUAUUAAUUUGUCAAAUUAAAGAUAUUUGAUAUGAUUUUUU
rnacentral:tRNA from 1 species